GGACGCUUAGCUCAGUUGGUUAGAGCGUCUCGUUUACACCGAGAAGGCCGCAGGUUCGAAUCCUGCAGCGUCCACCA
rnacentral:tRNA from 1 species